rnacentral:rRNA from 1 species
CCUACGGGAGGCAGCAGUGGGGAAUAUUGCACAAUGGGGGAAACCCUGAUGUAGCGACGCCGCGUGAGUGAAGAAGUAAUUCGUUAUGUAAAGCUCUAUCUGCAGGGAAGAAAAUGACGGUACCUGUGUAAGAAGCCCCGGCUAACUACGUGCCAGCAGCCGCGGUAAUACGUAGGGGGCAAGCGUUAUCCGGAUUUACUGGGGGUAAAGGGAGCGUAGACGGCAGUGCAAGUCUGGAGUGAAAGGCGGGGGCUCAACCCCCGGACUGCUCUGGAAACUGUACGGCUGGAGUGCAGGAGAGGUAAGUGGAAUUCCUAGUGUAGCGGUGAAAUGCGUAGAUAUUAGGAGGAACACCAGUGGCGAAGGCGGCUUACUGGACUGUAACUGACGUUGAGGCUCGAAAGCGUGGGGAGCAAACAGGAUUAGAUAUCCUUGUAGUC